UGGGAGGUCAUAUCUUCCGAUGCAUACUAUUUUGUUAUGCAUUGGCAUGUUUAUUAUGUCAAAAUGCUUUACAAAUACAGUCCCUCUACAAAAAAGUGUAGAAAUUCCAAGAUUAUGGGAUAAUUAGGAAUUGAUUGUGUAUGAUUGUAUAACCCUAUUUGGAUUAGGUAAUUUUUCUCUUUUCCAUGUAUAGGAAGUUACCUUGUUGGUCCCUCUUCCUAUGCUAUAUAUUGAGGCUCUAAGAUUGUAAUUAGACGUGUGAAAGUAUUGUAAAAAUCACAUAUCCUUUCAUUACAAUUUACAUGGUAUCAGAGCUCGGGUCUGUCCUUACCUAACCACGCAGUCAAUGGAAGAAAACACCGCCAACAGCACGGAGUCGACAACCUCAGAAUCACGAAACAGUGAAAUUGAAUCCCUUUCCACAUUGGGCUCCAGUGGACUCGACAAUUCCUCCUUUCAAUUUACAGUCGAAAAGUUGAACGGAAAAAAUUAUCGAGAAUGGGCUCAGUUAAUAAAACUCAUUAUCGAAGGAAAAGGAAAGCUAGGUUACCUUACUGGAGAAAAGAAAAAGCCCGCCUCAAUCGACGUCGGACUUCUACAAAAAUGGAGGUCGGAAAACUUAAUGGUGACUACGUGGCUAGUUAAUUCCAUGAAACCUCCGAUUGGAAAGAGUUACUUGUUUCUACCAACAGCAAAGGAUGUUUGGGAUGCUGUUAACGACAUGUAUUCAGACGUUGAAAAUUCUUCACAAAUCUUUAAGAUCAAAACAAAACUCUGGCAGAUGAAGCAAAGGGAGAGAGAUGUGACAGACUACUACCUGGAGAUAUCUUCACUCUGGCAGGAACUCGAUCAGAAUGUUGACGAAGAAUGGGACUGUCCGGCCGACAGUGUACGAUACAGAAAGAAGGUCGAAAACGAACUGGUAUACGAGUUCCUGGCUGGGCUUAAUAGAGAAUUAGAUGAUGUGAGAGGAAGAGUCCUUGGUCGGCGACCCCUAUUGUCACUUCGUGAAGCUUUCGCUGAGGUUCGCAAAGAAGAAAACCGGCGAGGAGUGAUGCUUCGAGAAGGUAAAAACACCAGGCUUGAAGAGGAAACUAGUUCUGAGUUAUUAUCAAAGGAACGUGGGCUUGGUGGGUCGACCGAAUUAACUAAAAGGUUUGGUUCAGCCCAAUUGCCUGGAGAGCUAGCAUUAAAUGGAGUUAAAGGACUUGAUUAUCAAAUUGGGCCUAAUUUCCAAAGGAACACCCACUAAUGGGUUCAGCCCAAAACAGCAGAGGCGACGUGCUUGGUGUGAUCAAUGUCGUAAACCGGGGUAUAAAGCAGAUACAUGUUGGGAACUACACGGAAAAUCAGUUGACUGGAAACCAAGACAAAUUAACAGAAAUUGGGGUUACCAAGUGGUUGUUGAUCCUAUUGAAGAAAAGAGUACCUCUACUCUGAACGGUGCAUUCAAUCCUGAACAAUUGGGGCAACUAUAUAAAAUGUGUUCAAGUUUCCAAUCAUCGGGUUCGUCAAGUUCACUAGCUCACAAAGGACCUAUCAUCGGGGAAGACGAUUGGCAGUGCUAAAGAAUGUGGGGGACUUUACUACUUUGAGAAAGCAGAUGUGGAUUGCAAGUUGGAGGUGGUAUCAAUUCAAGCAAUGCUUUGAGCUACAUAGACGAAGGAGCAAGCCAUGUCAUUGUGACAUCAUAUGUGUUCAGUAAUGGAGAAAUAAACUUCGAACGGCUUCAGG